rnacentral:misc_RNA from 1 species
UGCUCUUGCCUGUUCCGCUCCCUGUACAUGCCCCAUUUUUUCAAUACGAUCAGAAUUACUUCAACUGUUCAAACCUAAAUUAUAACAAUUCACAAAUUUGAAAAGCAUAAAUGAUGAGAUGGGAUAAAAUUUUCCUUUGGAUCAGACUUAAUCUUUAUGUUCCUGAUCAUUUGUUUACGUAUACAAACUGUAAAUAACUAAAGGCUAUAAGCUGAAAGGCACGUAGAGCUAACACCAUGCACCUGGGGCUGGAUGAUGGGCAUAUUUUUUA